GGUGCUCACAGCACAGUCACAGACACGGGAAACCACAGAGCCGAGAGCAGCCAGGGCCCUCGAGAGACCGUUGCAGCCCAACUCCUUUAUCUCAAUGAGAGAAAGCAGAGGUUUAGAGAGGAAUAGGUCACUGGCAAGCCCUGGGAGGUGCGAGGGCCUCCUGCACCCUACGAAGCUCCUUCUCGGCCUUACUGGGCAUGGAUGGGUUCGUGCUGACCGGGCGGAGGCUGGGGUGGCCUGCGAGGCACCGUCUCUCCCACCAGCCUCCUGACAUCUUUUGUUUUGGCACACGGCCUGCCCUACCCUCCGGAGUUUUGAGUGCGAUGAGGUUGAGAACAGCUACGCAGUGGUCAGCUCUGUGUCACUCAGCAGACCACACCCCCAACAUCCUGUUGAUCAGGUGGUCACUUGGCAUUGUCGCCCCAGCCACAGGGAGUUAAAAAGAAACCCAACCUCAAGGAAGCAAAGCAAAAUCCAUUCUGUGGCCGAGAUUCUUGAAGACGGGCCUGGACGUCCCUCCCUGGCAGAACGUGCCUCCCCGACACGGACACUCCACAGCCUCAACCCUGUACGUGACCCUCACCGGGGCACCACAUGCAGAGGACAGUCCUUGUGGGACAUUUCCCACGUCCCACCCGGGGGUCCAGCUCCGACCCCCGGAAGAGCGAGCCAGGUGCCUGGGGUGCAGAAGCGUGUUCGGUGCCUGGCUCCAUGGUCCUUCCUUUUCCCACACUGGACGGGCACAGGGUUUCCGCCCCAGUGCCACACUCAUCAACCUGGGCGCCUGCAUGUCAGUGCGGGGCUGAUGGUGCCAGCUGAUAGAUCAGGUGCACAUUUGAGUUGUAGCUCACCUGGUAACUAUCCAGGUCUUUCCGUUCUGCCGUGUGCGGUGAGAGUUCAGAAGUACAAGCUCGCUUGCACGUGUUCUCAAGCCAGCAGCAGUCCUUUGGGGGAUCUCAUGUGCAAGUGCAGGAGCCAAAGCCAGGCCUGCUUCAACCAGGACCACUCACCCCAGCCCAGCACUGGAUGCCCCGAGGCUGCUGUAGGGUACUUGCUGUGGCCGUUGGGUCCACACGCUGGCUUCCUCUACUUUCCCAUACGUGAGAGCAGUGGUCCUGUUAACCAGUGAACCCAGCUGUGUGAUCCCCGGGCUGUGCCCAUGAAACUCAACAUCUCCCCCUGGGAACCACAGGUGCCCUCUAAGUGGCGCCCAGUGUUGCUGGGGGAGGG
rnacentral:lncRNA from 1 species